UACGGGGGGGGCAAGCGUUGUUCGGAAUUACUGGGCGUAAAGGGCUCGUAGGCGGCCCACUAAGUCAGAUGUGAAAUCCCCAGGCUCAACCUGGGAACUGCAUCUGAUACUGGUGGGCUUGAAUUCGGGAGAGGGAUGCGGAAUUCCAGGUGUAGCGGUGAAAUGCGUAGAUAUCUGGAGGAACACCGGUGGCGAAGGCGGCAUCCUGGACCGAGAUUGACGCUGAGGCGCGAAAGCCAGGGGAGCAAACGGG
rnacentral:rRNA from 1 species